rnacentral:rRNA from 1 species
AUGUGGAACCUGUGGAAAGAAAGAAACCGUAGGGUCUUUGAGCAGAAGGAGCUGACACCGACUGCACUUGCUGGACUGAUAAGAGAAGACGUCAAGAUUUUCUACGAGGCCACCAAAGCGGCGGGCGCUGGGGACACAUAA